rnacentral:rRNA from 1 species
UACGAAGGGGGCUAGCGUUGCUCGGAAUUACUGGGCGUAAAGCGCACGUAGGCGGCUUCUUAAGUCGGUGGUGAAAUCCUGGAGCUCAACUCCAGAACUGCCUUCGAUACUGGGAGCUCGAGUCCGGGAGAGGUGAGUGGAACUGCGAGUGUAGAGGUGAAAUUCGUAGAUAUUCGCAAGAACACCAGUGGCGAAGGCGGCUCACUGGCCCGGUACUGACGCUGAGGUGCGAAAGCGUGGGGAGCAAGCAGGG